rnacentral:tRNA from 1 species
GGGGCAUUGGCGCAGUUGGGAGCGCGCUACAUUCGCAUUGUAGAGGCCGUGGGUUCGAAUCCCAUAUGCUCCA